UACGAAGGGUGCAAACGUUGCUCGGAAUUAUUGGGCGUAAAGGGCUCGUAGGCGGUCUGUUACGUCGGGAGUGAAAACUCGGGGCUCAACCCCGAGCCUGCUUCCGAUACGGGCAGACUAGAGGUAUGCAGGGGAGAAUGGAAUUCCUGGUGUAGCGGUGAAAUGCGCAGAUAUCAGGAGGAACACCGGUGGCGAAGGCGGUUCUCUGGGCAUUACCUGACGCUGAGGAGCGAAAGUGUGGGGAGCGAACAGG
rnacentral:rRNA from 1 species